rnacentral:misc_RNA from 1 species
GUCGUAACAAGGUUUCCGUAGGUGAACCUGCGGAAGGAUCAUUGUCGAAUCCUGUAGAAGCAAACCGCGAACAUGUAUAAUCACAUUGGGAUUGCGGCGGGGGCAAUCUCUCGUCGCAUCCCCCUCCCCGCAUGCUCUCACCAUGGUGGGUGUUGUGCGGGCUAACGAACCCCGGCGCGGAAUGCGCCAAGGAUUACUCAUGAAGCGUCCACCUCCCCUGUCCCGUUCGCGGUGAUUUGGGGGAAGAGGAUGAAUCUCCAAUGUCAAAACGACUCUCGGCAACGGAUAUCUCGGCUCUCGCAUCGAUGAAGAACGUAGCGAAAUGCGAUACUUGGUGUGAAUUGCAGAAUCCCGUGAACCAUCGAGUCUUUGAACGCAAGUUGCGCCCGAAGCCUUUUGGCCAAGGGCACGUCUGCCUGGGCGUCACGCAUCGCGUCGCUCCC